GACGAACACUGGCGGCGUGCUUAACACAUGCAAGUCGAACGGAAAGGCCCUGCUUUUGUGGGGUGCUCGAGUGGCGAACGGGUGAGUAACACGUGAGUAACCUGCCCUUGACUUUGGGAUAACUUCAGGAAACUGGGGCUAAUACCGGAUAGGAGCUCCUGCUGCAUGGUGGGGGUUGGAAAGUUUCGGCGGUUGGGGAUGGACUCGCGGCUUAUCAGCUUGUUGGUGGGGUAGUGGCUUACCAAGGCUUUGACGGGUAGCCGGCCUGAGAGGGUGACCGGCCACAUUGGGACUGAGAUACGGCCCAGACUCCUACGGGAGGCAGCAGUGGGGAAUAUUGCUCAAUGGGCGGAAGCCUGAUGCAGCAACGCCGCGUGCGGGAUGACGGCCUUCGGGUUGUAAACCGCUUUCGCCUGUGACGAAGCGUGAGUGACGGUAAUGGGUAAAGAAGCACCGGCUAACUACGUG
rnacentral:rRNA from 1 species